GACCGUGCUUUGUGCUGUUACGUCUUUCCUCAAGUCCACUUGAUUGUGGCUUCAGGCCCAGAGAGGGUGUAAGGCCCGUGGAGGCAAGAUGUUCGGCACCCGGCGCGUUCUUAGAGUCGGGUUGUUUGGGAAUGCAGCCCAAAGUGGGUGGUAAGCUCCAUCCAAGGCUAAAUACUAGCACGAGUCCGAUAGCGAAGAAGUACCGCGAGGGAAAGUUGAAAAGAACUUUGAAGAGAGAGUUCAAGAGUACGUGAAACCGCUGAGAGGCAAACUGGUGGAGCUGAAAUGGUCUCGAGGAAUUCAGCCGUUUGUGAGACGACAGUUGUCAGUUGUGAGAUUUAACGACUCCUCUGGCUGCUGAUUGUUUUGCGAUAGGUGCACUUUCCUCGGUGAUCGGACCACGACCGGCGAGCUGUGUUGUCUAGCGUGCUUGGAAGGUAGCGUCCUCUUCGGAGGACGUGUUAUAGACAAGCGCAUGGAGUGACUGGCGCGCUGUAUUGAAGUGCCUGCCCUCGUUGGCUCGUACGUUGGUUGCUUUGCGGAUAACUUUGKCUUCACUGCUUCGGCAGAGCGGUUGAGGUUGUUUGCAUUGCGGUCGGCCUCUGCGAUUGGCAUGGAAAGUCUUGUGGUUGUGAAGUAGGUAGUCCACCUGACCCGUCUUGAAACACGGACCAAGGAGUCUAACAUGUGCGCAAGUCAUUGGGUUCUACGAAACCUAAAGGNGCAGUGAAANUGAAGAUCCNCUUUUGCGGAUUGNGGUNGGGAUGCUNGGCUACNCGNUCAGCCGCACUACCGGCCCGUUCCACAUGUAUCUCAUGGGGGCGGAGCAAGAGCGUACACGUUGGGACCCGAAAGAUGGUGAACUAUGCUUGCGCAGGYSGAASCCAGARGAAAYUCKGGUGGMGGMSMGCAGMGAUGCUGWCGWKCRAMWACAUCRUCAAASGKGARWAUAGRGSCRAAAKMYURAUCGAACCAUCUMGWAGCUGGUUCCCUSCGRARUUUCCCWCWGGAUAGUUGGCACUCGGGAAAUUAAACAGUUUUAUCCRGUAAAGCGAAYGAUUAGAGGUAUUGGGACGAAACUGCUCUCAACCUAUUCUCNAACUUUAAAUGGGUNAGAUGCUCGACUCGCUCAAUNGGAGCCGGGCUAUUGCUGAA
rnacentral:rRNA from 1 species